GGGAGGGGUAGGAUAACCAUAUUGUGUGCUCAUUUUUCAGCCUCCUGAUUGUUAGGUCAUCUGCUUUCUAUAUAUAUAUGCAGAAAGGAAUCACAAAUUAAAGGGUCACUGUUUAUAACAAAUACUAUUUAUAAAAAUGCUCUCAGAUGACUACAGGCCACUCCUUUGUCGAGAAACUCGGCUACGAAGAAGAACCAUUCGCUAAAGAAGUUCGUUCACAGGCAUCGAGAGAGGACUUCAAUCCUAGUCGAACACCCACCGUUAAGAUGGCUGGCCACGACUGAGUUCCUGACGUCGGUGCACCCUGGCUGUUGCCUUCCUCCAUUGGGGAAGAAGUCCACGUGGCCGAUGGGCCCGAGUAGAC